AUUGAACGCUGGCGGCAGGCCUAACACAUGCAAGUCGGGCGAGCGGCGCACGGGUGAGUAAUGUAUGGGGCUCUGCCUGAUGGCGGGGGAAAACUUCUGGAAAGGGUAGCUAAUACCGCAUACCAUCAGAUGAGCCCAUAGGGGAUUCGCUAGUAGGUGGGGGAAAGGCUCACCUAGGCGAGGAUCUCUGGCUGGUCUGAGAGGAUGAACGGCGACACUGGGACUGAGACACGGCCCAGAGCCCGACGGGAGGCAGGAGUGGGGAAGAUUGCACAAUGGGCGCAAGCCUGAUGCAUCCAUGCCGCGUGUAUGAAGAAGGCCGUAGGGUUUUAAAGUGUGUUCAGCGGUGAGGCGUUACCCGCAGAAGAAGCACCGGCUAACUCCGUGCCAGCAGCCGCGGUAAUUC
rnacentral:rRNA from 1 species